rnacentral:lncRNA from 10 species
AUAAUUUUGUGUCUUGAUAAAGUAGGAAUAUGGCUGGGACCAUCCCUGACUCUCUUUUUUCCUUGAAUGUGAACACAUGAGUGAAGCAUACAUCCAUUGUCCAUGGGGCAAGAAACAUGAGGAUGAAAAGCCAAUAUGUUAAGGACAUGAAGUGAAAAGCGGGAAGAGCUUCUUAUUCAUGUUAUCACUGAGCAGCGGGAACUGGGGGCUCUGCUCAUUAUAGUUGCCCACGGCCUCCAGUCAAUGAAAUUUCCGGCCAAUGAAAUGCUCUACUGUGACUGAAGCAGCAAAGAGAAGAUGUUCUGCCGGAGGCCUCUCCAGAUUGUGAUGCACUGGGAGCAAGCCACCAUGAACAUAUCCUCAGGUCUCCAGUCUUCUGCCAUCGCAUGAAAAAUGGAGCUUGUCAAACACAGAGCAGAGCUGAACUUUCUGAAUUCCACAGGACAGUUCAGAGUGCUUGGAAUGACACCCACCUGCAAUUUAAACAAAAAAGAAGGAUGAUUUGCUGCUACAUUUGUGUGGGAAGUGCUGCUUGCCGAUAGGGAAGUAGGAGAGGAAAUAAGGAAAACAAUAAACCAAGUACAGUUUUGCAAAUACCCAGACACAUUGGAUGGACACAGAAGCUUUCACUGGGAGAUUAUGAAGGGUAGAUGCUUUGUGUCUCCAUUGCCUCCUGUGAUGU